rnacentral:rRNA from 1 species
CGAUGAGUGCUAAGUGUUAGAGGGUUUCCGCCCUUUAGUGCUGCAGCAAUCGCAUUAAGCACUCCGCCUGGGGAGUACGGUCGCAAGACUGAAACUCAAAGGAAUUGACGGGGGCCCGCACAAGCGGUGGAGCAUGUGGUUUAAUUCGAAGCAACGCGAAGAACCUUACCAGGUCUUGACAUCCUCUGACAACUCUAGAGAUAGGGCUUCCCCUUCGGGGGCAGAGUGACAGGUGGUGCAUGGUUGUCGUCAGCUCGUGUCGUGAGAUGUUGGGUUAAGUCCCGCAACGAGCGCAACCCUUGAUCUUAGUUGCCAGCAUUCAGUUGGGCACUCUAAGGUGACUGCCGGUGACAAACCGGAGGAAGGUGGGGAUGACGUCAAAUCAUCAUGCCCCUUAUGACCUGGGCUACACACGUGCUACAAUGGGCAGAACAAA